rnacentral:tRNA from 1 species
GGAGAGAUGGCCGAGAGGCUGAAGGCAACGGUUUGCUAAACCGUCAUACGGGCGUAAACCCGUAUCGGGGGUUCGAAUCCCCCUCUCUCCGCCA